UGGCUUAUGGUGAUAACAUAAAUUAUCUUAGUAGAUUUUAGUGAGAUUUUAUAGUCAAUGAUCUGAAUGUUACACACACUGAACCCA